AGUCUUCCUUCCGGGACAGAUGGCCUUCUGCUCCACUGUCCAAAUGUGGCUCUACCUAUACCCAGAAGAUUUUGUGGGGUCCAUGGACAGCCUGAGGAGCCUCAGGACCUUCUUGCUCCACACCAUGCCGGAGUCAGGGCUGACAGUCCAGGUGGAGAGCCUCCUGACAGGGCUGGAGAACACAGAUCCCACUGCCUCUCCAGGAAAAACCCUCAAUUAAACACGGUCAAACACCAGAGGCACCAGGUCACCCAUCUCUCAGGCCAGCACCCACUCCACGUGUGCUGGAAAGUUGACACUGCCCUAGAGCUCAUGUCUCCUCUGGCCCCUCUACCUUUGU